rnacentral:rRNA from 1 species
GGCGGCGUGCUUAACACAUGCAAGUCGAGCGGAAAGGCCCUUCGGGGGUACUCGAGCGGCGAACGGGUGAGUAACACGUGAGCAACCUGCCCCUGACUUUGGGAUAAGCCUGGGAAACGGGUCUAAUACCGGAUACGACCGGUCACCGGCAUGGUGUGCCGGUGGAAAGUUUUUUCGGGUUGGGGAUGGGCUCGCGGCCUAUCAGCUUGUUGGUGGGGUGAUGGCCUACCAAGGCGACGACGGGUAACCGGCCUGAGAGGGCGACCGGUCACACUGGGACUGAGACACGGCCCAGACUCCUACGGGAGGCAGCAGUGGGGAAUAUUGCGCAAUGGGCGGAAGCCUGACGCAGCGACGCCGCGUGGGGGAUGACGGCCUUCGGGUUGUAAACCUCUUUCAGCAGGGACGAAGCUAACGUGACGGUACCUGCAGAAGAAGCGCCGGCUAACUACGUGCCAGCAGCCGCGGUAAUACGUAGGGCGCAAGCGUUGUCCGGAAUUAUUGGGCGUAAAGAGCUCGUAGGCGGUUUGUCGCGUCUGUCGUGAAAGCCCACGGCUUAACCGUGGGUCUGCGGUGGAUACGGGCAGACUAGAGGCAGGUAGGGGAGAAUGGAAUUCCCGGUGUAGCGGUGAAAUGCGCAGAUAUCGGGAGGAACACCGGUGGCGAAGGCGGUUCUCUGGGCCUGUACUGACGCUGAGGAGCGAAAGCGUGGGGAGCGAACAGGAUUAGAUACCCUGGUAGUCCACGCCGUAAACGUUGGGCGCUAGGUGUGGGGUCCUUCCACGGAUUCCGCGCCGUAGCUAACGCAUUAAGCGCCCCGCCUGGGGAGUACGGCCGC